UCCUACGGGAGGCAGCAGUGGGGAAUAUUGCACAAUGGGCGAAAGCCUGAUGCAGCAACGCCGCGUGAGCGAAGAAGGCCCUCGGGUCGUAAAGCUCUGUCCUAAGGGAAGAAAAAUGACGGUACCUUAGGAGGAAGCCCCGGCUAACUACGUGCCAGCAGCCGCGGUAAUACGUAGGGGGCGAGCGUUAUCCGGAAUCACUGGGCGUAAAGGGUGCGUAGGCGGCCAAAUAAGCCAGGGGUGAAAGGCUGCGGCUCAACCGCAGUAAGCCUUUGGAACUGUAUGGCUUGAGUGCAGGAGAGGAGAGUGGAAUUCCUAGUGUAGCGGUGAAAUGCGUAGAUAUUAGGAGGAACACCAGUGGCGAAGGCGACUCUCUGGACUGCAACUGACGCUGAGGCACGAAAGCGUGGGGAGCGAACAGGAUUAGAUACCCUGGUAGUCCACGCCGUAAACGAUGAGUGCUAGGUGUCGGGGGUUCACACCCUCGGUGCCGGAGUUAACGCAUUAAGCACUCCGCCUGGGGAGUACGGUCGCAAGACUGAAACUCAAAGGAAUUGACGGA
rnacentral:rRNA from 1 species